CACGUAGGGGGCGAGCGUUGUCCGGAAUCAUUGGGCGUAAAGAGCUCGUAGGCGGCUCGGUAAGUCGGGUGUGAAAUCCCUCGGCUUAACCGGGGAACUGCGUCCGAUACUGGUUGGCUUGAGUUUGGGAGAGGGAUGCGGAAUUCCAGGUGUAGCGGUGAAAUGCGUAGAUAUCUGGAGGAACACCGGUGGCGAAGGCGGCAUCCUGGACCAAUACUGACGCUGAGGAGCGAAAGCCAGGGGAGCAAACGGG
rnacentral:rRNA from 1 species